AGAAUAAAAGGGAGUCACAGGCAUAGAACAAUUGGGGGUCUCACCGAGGAGAGGACGCUUUGCCUCAGACCCGGACAAUCAGCACUCCUGCCCGCCACACAAACUGUUGGGACUUCCCCGGCUGAUUGUGAUGUGGAUGUUCAUAAACCAGUUGCCAUGUUGUGAGCAGUCCUAUGAAGAGGUCUUCAAGGAAAGGAACUGAGGUUCCCCACCAAAAGCCACUUGCAUGAGCUUGCAACCAGAUCCUCCAGACCCAGCCAAGCUUUCAGGUGACUGCAGCCCCAGGCAAUAGCUUGACUGAAACUUCACAAGAGACCCAGAGAUGCAGAGCCAGAACCAUCCAGCUAAGCUGCUGCCUGACUCCUGGUCCUCAUAAACCAUGUGAAUUUAAUUCGUUUUCCGGCCAGAAGGACCCAGAGCAGAUAGAGGAAAUGUCUUCCUCCCCUACACUUCCUUAUGAGGGAGAAAACAGACUUGAAUCAGAGCCAUCUCUACUACUUUUGGAAAAGGUUCUUGGAAAGUCUUGAGUUCUCAGAAGAGAUGAAAAAUGAAUUGAAUCCAAAUCUUGACUGGAAUUCAUAAAAGCACAGCUUUGUGACAUUUGUUUUCCUGCAUCAAAAAUGAAGACAUUAUCAUACUUAAAUAAUUACGGUAACCAACAAUGUGUUUUCUAUGGAUUGACCUGCAGAGGUGGCAAUUUUGUCUUCAAGAACACAGACCUUAGAGAUCUUGGGAGAAAGUGAAUUCUCACUAGAUAUUGAAAGCCUGAAUCUAGAAAACACUCAUUGUUCGGGACCCAUUCCUAUGUCUCUUACAAAGCAUUCCAUUUGGAUUAAACCGUAUGCACAGACAUUUCUUACCCUCCCUCAAAAGUCGUAAGAAGCUGAAACAAAA
rnacentral:lncRNA from 1 species